UAUCACCACCACCAACACCAUCGCCCCCACCGCUAUUCAUCACCAGCAUCCAUCACCCCUCCACCACCAACAACACCAGGAUAAAUUAUGAUCAUUUGAUGAUUUUGGGUCAUGUAUUUACAUAAAUUAUGUGAGAUGAAUAUUAUCAGAAUCAAAAUUUCCUCCAGUAAAUAAAAUCAGUAUACAAAAUUUAUUUGGAUGGGUCAAACUAAAAUUAUGUCCCGCACACAAAAAAGGGUUCCAAUCAUCUCCAUUAUCAAAGAAUACGAAUGUGAUUCGGUUCCUUAUCAAUUUCAGGAAGAAGUUGGCGAAUUAUUGGUCGCUUUUUGAAAUAUGGAAAUGAAUACCACUGCAGGCUAUAUGGAAAUUGUGCCCUCAACACUGAGCUCAUACGUAGACAACUUUUGAAGAUGAGAAUGAGCUUGAAAAUAACGGACAAGCGGACGUGCCUGAUGAUAAUCGCCAAGAGGACACAACUAUGCAGGGAGGUAAGGCCAGUUUCAAGUAGCGUCCACUACUUAUGAUUGGAUGUACUCUUGAAAUUUUCUUUUUGUUCAUAAAGACGUUUACUAUUACACUAUACAGUCCAAUAAAAUUAGGAAGUGCCUAACUGUCUAUUAGUUUGAUCAUGUGUUACAUGGACAACAGAACCGCCAAUUCAUAUAUGAGGCUUGAGUUUGUCGUUUUA